GGGUUAAGUCCGGCAAGGAGCGCAACCCUUACCCUUAGUUGCCAGCGUAAAGACGGGCAUUCUAAGGGACUGCCAUCGAUAAGAUGGAGGAAGGUGGGGAUGACGUCAAAUCAUCAUGGCCUUUAUGCCCUGGGCUACACACGUGCUACAAUGGGCGGUACAAAGGGAAGCGAAGGGGAGACCUGGAGCAAAUCCCAAAAAGCCGCUCUCAGUUCGGAUUGCAGGCUGCAACUCGCCUGCAUGAAGUCGGAAUUGCUAGUAAUCGCGGAUCAGCAUGCCGCGGUGAAUACGUUCCCGGGCCUUGUACACACCGCCCGUCACACCACGAAAGCCGGUAACACCCGAAGUCAGUGGCCUAACCCGGAAAGGGAGGGAGCUGCCGAAGGUGGGACCGGUGAUUGGGGUGAAGUCGUAACAAGGUAACACAAUCCAUAUGAUUAGUAGA
rnacentral:rRNA from 1 species